CCCUACGGGACGCAGCAGUGGGGAAUAUUGGGCAAUGGGCGCAAGCCUGACCCAGCAACGCCGCGUGAAGGAAGAAGGCUUUCGGGUUGUAAACUUCUUUUCUGAGGGACGAAGAAAGUGACGGUACCUCAGGAAUAAGCCACGGCUAACUACGUGCCAGCAGCCGCGGUAAUACGUAGGUGGCAAGCGUUAUCCGGAUUUAUUGGGUGUAAAGGGCGUGUAGGCGGGAAUGCAAGUCAGAUGUGAAAACUAUGGGCUCAACCCAUAGCCUGCAUUUGAAACCGUAUUUCUUGAGUGCUGGAGAG
rnacentral:rRNA from 1 species